UUUUUCCUUUUUUUUUG
rnacentral:sRNA from 1 species